rnacentral:lncRNA from 1 species
GGGGUCUAUCAAUCUUAUUUCUUCUUUCAAAGAAUCAACUUUUGGUUUUGUUCAUCUUUUGUAUGGUUUUCCUCAUCUCCAUUUCAUUCAGUUCAGCUCUGAUUUUAGUUAUUUGUUUUCUUUUGCUAGCUUUAGGCUUGGUUUGCUCUUGUUUUUCUAGUUCCUCUAGUUGUAAUAUUAGGUUAUUAAUUUGAGAUCUUUCCAACUUUUUGAUGUGGCUGUUGAGUGCAAUAAACUUUCUUCUUAACACUGCUUUGGAUGUGUCCAAGAGAUUCUGAGAACCAUUGAUGAGGCUGAUGGGGCAAUGCAAUGUUCUUCUCUGCUUGAAGACGUCUACUUGUGAGGGACCUCUGGAAGAAGAGGAAGAAGACUUAGAUUUAGUCCCAGGUCAUCCACUCUUCAGACCUAUGAACUUGGACAAGUUAUCUAACCAUUCUAGCUGCACUUCCAGGGUUCUUUUUUGGGGAGGGGGGGAUAAAAUAUAAAAUUAAUUAUUUUUUUCUGGCUAUCAUUUUAAGGCUAUUGGAUAGAAAAUUGGUGUAAGAAUACUUGAUUAUCUCUAACUUGUAUGCUUGUGUAAUAAGAUGGGCAGGAUUUUGUUUGCUUAGCAACUAAUUCGGUGCAUUUUUCUUAGAGUAAAAUUAACAUCAUUGGGUCAAUUAUUUAAUGAAUGUGUUAAGGGUAAAAGUGAAAUUUCUGGUUGAGUAGGCUAGUGUAAAAGCUUUAAACCACUACUUCUAAUUGAGAAUGUGUAGUAGAAGUUUAGAAAGGGAGGCCGGGCUUAGUGGCUCACACCUGUAAUCCCAGCACUUUGGGAGGCUGAGGCGGGAGGAUCAUGAAGUCAGAAGAUAGAGACCAUCCUGGCUAACAUGGUGAAACCAUGUCUCUAAUAAAAAUACAAAAAAAAAUUAGCCGGGCGUGGUGGUGGGCGCCUUUAGUCUCAGCUACUCGGGGAGGCUGAGGCAGGAGAAUGGCGUUAACCUGGGAGGUGGAGCUUUCAGCGAGCCAAGAUCGCGCCACUGCACUCCAGCCUGGGCACAGAGCCAGACUCUAUCUCCAAAAAAAAGAAAAAAAGUGACUGGAACUCCAGGGGUAUGACAGGGGUAUUGCUCAUGUGACAUCAACAUUUACAUCAGAUCCAUCUAUAUCAGAUGAACUGAGAAAAGAAACACAAUUAUUGAGUUCUUUCUGUGGAUGAAUAUUUCUGUCCUUAUAAAAAUUGUGAGCAAUCUUAACCAGCAAGCCAUAGCAAUGCAAACCAGACACCAAGGAAGACAAAGAUCAUACCAGUGGUACAGGCAGCACAGAUGUUUAAAACCAAGAUCUCCACUUUGGGAGUCCGAGGCGGGUGGAUCAUGAGGUUAGGAGUUGAAGACCAGCCUGACCAACAUGGUGAAACCCCGUCUCUACUAAAAAUGCAAAAAUUAACUGGGUGUGGUGGCGCAUGCCUGUAAUUCCAGCUACUCAGGAGGCUGAGGCAGGAGAAUUGCUUGAACCUGGGAGGCAGAGGUUGCAGUGAGCUGAGAUUGCGCCACUGCACUCUGUAGCCUGGGCAACAGAGCAAGGCUCCAUCUCAAAAACAAAAACAAAAACCCAAGAUCUCACCAUGGUGUUGUUUCCACACAUGGCUGAGAGAGUAUAUAACAUCUGAUGGCUGUUCUACCAUGGUUUGACUUGGGCUGUGGAGAAAGGAUUUCUUCUUGGCAGAGAAGGGGAGGGAAGGAAGACACAGGCCUAGGGCCAAGUCAUGAGCACAUGUGUGUCUUGCAAUUAGAACACAGACUGGAGAACAGCCACACAUUGUCAACACUAUGAUUUCUUCAAUGUUAUAGUUGGUGGGAAAGCAUCCUCUUCCCGCUCAACAUCCUGAAAUUCUCUGGAUCCAGUGAGUUCUGCCCGAAGUCUGGAAGAGUGGCCACAAUUGCCAAAAGUCUAGUACCCAUAAUCUAUAAGAUGGAAAGAUGGCAAUGGUAAGAUAUGAAUCAGCUACUGGGACAGUGUUUGGAAUGUAACCAGUAAGAGAGACAGAACUAGACUAGAAGCAGUCUAGUCUUGAGAUGUCCAGAGAGAGGCCAUGGGCAAAAGAGUGAGAAAGAUUGCUUCAUCAGGGAGCUCACCUCUGUCUCUACGCUCAGGUUCUAUGCUCCAAACUGCAAGACCCUGUUAAGACAGGGGAGAAAGCAAGGCAUAAUUAAGUGGGGCCAUCUGGAGCUUCAGACCACUGGAUUACACAUGUGAGAUAUUCUUGGCUAUUCUCACUUUUCCACCUCCAACUUUCACAUGAAAACUCGUAUUUUGGCCUUGAAUCCAAUUUAGCAAAGUCUUUUGUUUGAACCUUCUGUGGUGUUGCCUGUUGCAAUGUAAGCAUUAAUCCAAAAAAUCAGAUGGAAGUGGUUACGUAUGUCAUGGCGCUGAAAAAGGCCUCCCUCUCAUCAAUGGUGAAACCCUGGCACCUGUUAAGAAAAAUUAUUCAAACUUUGAAUAUAAGGUAAAAGAACGACUCUGUGUCCUUUUGAUGUUAUACUAUAACAUUGUCUUUUAGGACUAUCUAGGGAUUAUUUAAUUCUCUAAGAGAAUGCUUUUUCUUGACCUUUAUUGUUGAUGAAAAUCCAGACAGUGUGCAGUUACAUAUAAACUUGCAGAAAUUGAGAAACUAUACAUGAUUUUUGAUUAGCAGAAAUGGAAAUGAUUUCUUUCAGACAGUAAAACAGAAUCCCAAGGAUACACAGUUUUAUUGCCUUGUAGAACAUUAACCAGUUGUGCAUAUAACUUAGCAAAAUUGUUUCCCUAUCCAAGUUUUACCUGACAAUAUAAAUCUCUGUCCACUAAAUGCUCUUAUAACUGCUUUGUGUGCUUCCCAGUUACUGGAUUGAGUUAAAUUACUCUCUGACAUGUUUGUAUGAGUCAUAUUUUACUAUUUUUGGGAGUUAUACAUUGAGAGACUAAGAGAAAAUAUCUAGGUGAGAGAAUGGAGCCCCAGUCUUCUAAAUUUUACUCCUCCCCCCUACUAAACCAAAAAUCCUCAGCUAAAUGUCAUGACUGGUUUCAUCUCCUGGAUCUUAUCCAAUCACUAGUGUAUGCCCUUGGAUCUGGAUAUACUUAUUUUAUUAUUUACACUCAUAAGAUAAUCUAUAGAAAAGAUAACAGGCUCAAAUCAAGCAUGAAAACCCACCAUUAUUAGCUUGGGGUAAACAUUAUAAUUUUCUACCACUUGUCUCUCAUCACCCUGAGGUUUCCUGUUUAAUAAUAAAAUCAUCUGUUUCUUUUUAAUGCCACCCACUCAGUGUACCUAAACAAUUGUUUAUUUUCUCCCUUUCUAAUUUGUGAUGAAGAAGUGUUUCUAAUGUGUGAUGAAAAGAGUCCAUUUAUUCGAAAAAAUACAAAAAUAUAAAUUACUCUGCUUCAAAUUGGUGUUAUAUUUUGCUUACUUUGUAUUGCUCAUGUCUGUGAUACUUUAAUGUUGUAAGGGUAAAUGGAAGAAUCUAAUGAAAGCCCUAGACUCUUUGCCCUGAAAAAGAUGAACAUAUACAUGAAGUUUCCAAACAAUGUCAGAAUUUGGAAGAUCCCAUAAGGCUUACCUAUGAAUCAAUGAAAAGUCUCGGAACCCCAAGUGAAGAAAUUCUCCUCUACCAGUAAGAAACACCCUCUCACCUUUUUUCUCUUCCUACAUCCACGUCUAUAUCACCCUUUUUGAAUUUUUGGGAUCACAUCCUAGUUUCUCUUUAUAACCUAUUUCAGCAUUUUAUUUUGUGCUGCUCCAAUUUCUUUUCACUUAGCAUUACAUCUAGUUUUACCACAAUAGUGGAUAUACUUUUUUUUUGUCAUGAGCUGUAUAUUUUAUAAGAGAUAAGGUUUCUUUUAUGUAUACUUUUCUUGAUGUAACUUGCACUCUUAAGCCAUUUAUCUUUUUUGCAUUAUGACUUUACAUAUACUGCUAAAAUUUAACUAUGUGGGAUCAAAAUGGGGGAAAGAAGCCAAAUUCCAGUUGAAAUUGUAAUAUUUGCUCUCUGGUGCAAUGUGAACAAGCCUUAAAUAGAAGUUAUUAUAGUCCUCAUUAUAUUGUUUUUAAAGGGAUUGUAUUUCCACUGUACUGAAGUCCUUGAAGCCUACAACUGGUAUCACAUCUGAAUCUGCCAGUAUUGAGCAGGCCGUUUGGUAUGGAGCAGCAGCUCAUAAAAUAUUUUAAUGGAUAAUGAGUGUUAAGAGAAAUUUCAAAGAUUCUGUUUCCUCAGGCUGAUACUGGGUUUUUCAGUUUCAUGAUUCAAUUACUGUUGGACUAGUUAGCCAACCCCACUUUUUUCCUCCAUGCUCUGUAUUACUAUUGACAUUGUGGUGAAUAAUUCUACUGUAUAAACAUGAAAGUAAAAAAAAAUGGAGCUUUUUAUUUAAAAUGUAUAAUAAAUAGAAGAAAAAAGAAAUCAGUGUUUUACAGACAGAAAGAGUUAAGACCAAUUGAGAUAUCUCUUUAAGCUUAGAAACUAAUGUGUUUCUUCAAUGUCCUCUUAUAAUCAGACUUUCUGGAAGCUAAAAACACAGCAGUUUGGUUUUAUUGGUUCUUCUACUUGAAAGUGACAUUUCUGAGACAUAGAGGAGGAGAGGAAAGAACAUGGGUUUUGGAGUCAAAAGAACUAGUUUAAAAUCCAGGAUUCGGGAUUUCCAGGCUGUAGGACUGAGAUAAGUUAUUUAACUUUUACAUGUCUCAUUUUCUUAAUCUAUAAAUGUUAAGGUUAUAGAAUGUGUAGGGUUGUUGUGAGUCAGUCAUAAGUGAAAUAAUAAUUUCCUCAGGAUAUGGCCUGAAUUCUAAGAUAUAUAAAUAAAUAGACUCUAUCAGUAUUUUGUCUCUUCUCAGUCAAGUCAGACUCUGCAACAACAGUUUGUUGCUUUUAACUUGCAUUGUGCCUCAUGCAGAGGUGGUGAAAUUUUCUACAUACACAUGCUUGUAAAUUUCUUCAUUAUUUGAAAACAAUAACUACAAGAAGAAUAAAGGGAGAAAACACAGCUGAA